rnacentral:rRNA from 1 species
GCCCGAAUCCUGACACAGGGAGGUAGUGACAAGAAAUAACAAUACAGGGCUACUUCUAGUCUUGUAAUUGGAAUGAGUACAACUUACAUCUCUUCACGAGGAUCAAUUGGAGGGCAAGUCUGGUGCCAGCAGCCGCGGUAAUUCCAGCUCCAAUAGCGUAUAUUAAAGUUGUUGCAGUUAAAAAGCUCGUAGUCGGAUUUCGGGUCGGGCCGAGCGGUCUGCCGAUGGGUAUGCACUGUUCGGCGCGGCCUUCUUUCCGGAGACCGCGGCUACUCUUAACUGAGCGGGCGUGGGAGACGGAUCGUUUACUUUGAAAAAAUCAGAGUGUUUCAAGCAGGCAGCUCGCUCUUGCAUGGAUUAGCAUGGGAUAAUGAAAUAGGACUCUGGUGCUAUUUUGUUGGUUUCGAACACCGGAGUAAUGAUUAACAGGGACAGUCAGGGG